rnacentral:misc_RNA from 1 species
AAGUCGUAACAAGGUUUCCGUAGGUGAACCUGCGGAAGGAUCAUUAACACGUAUCCACGUUAUCAACCAACUGUGAACUUGUUUUCAACACAACUUCUCCUUGAUUCGAUCUGAAUGCAUGAUGAUUGUCGCAAGACUCUUGUGUAGCAUUUGAUCGUGAUUGAGCAAACAACACAAACAAAUUAACAAAUUUCACCCCCUUUUUGCUAGUUGACUUUUAUAUGUUGUACGAAUCUACAAAGGACUUCAUUGUCUCUCUGCAGGCUUCAUACACACGUUUAUCUAUUUGAACGUUAAAAUUACAACUCUUAGCAAUGGAUAUCUUGGUUCUC